UACGUAGGGCGCAAGCGUUAUCCGGAAUUAUUGGGCGUAAAGAGCUCGUAGGCGGUUUGUCGCGUCUGCCGUGAAAGUCCGGGGCUCAACUCCGGGUCUGCGGUGGGUACGGGCAGACUAGAGUGAUGUAGGGGAGACUGGAAUUCCUGGUGUAGCGGUGAAAUGCGUAGAUAUCAGGAGGAAUACCUAUGGCGAAAGCAGGUCUCUGGGCCACAACUGACGCUGAGCUGCGAAAGCUAGGGGAGCAAACAGG
rnacentral:rRNA from 1 species